rnacentral:rRNA from 1 species
AAAAAGUAGGGAAGCUUAUGAGCCAUGUGCCGAGAAAAGCCGCUAUUGUUUGCAUUGUGCCCGUACCGUAAACCGACACAGGUGGAUGAGGAGAGAAUCCUAAGGCCGACGGAAGAAGCAUUGUUAAGGAAUUCGGCAAAAUGACCCCGUAACUUCGGGAGAAGGGGUGCCCACGGAAGUGGGCCGCAGUAAAAAGGCUCAAGCAACUGUUUAGCAAAAACACAGGUCUAUGCGAAACCAAAAGGUGAGGUAUAUGGGCUGACGCCUGCCCGGUGCUGGAAGGUUUAGAGGAGAGGUUAGCUUAAGCGAAGCUUUGAAUUGAAGCCCCAGUAAACGGCGGCCGUAACUAUAACGGUCCUAAGGUGGCGAAAUUCCUUGUCGGGUAAGUUCCGACCCGCACGAAAGGCGUAAUGAUUUGAGCACUGUCUCGACAAUGCAUCCGGUGAAAUUGAAGUACCAGUGAAGAUGCUGGUUACCCGCGCCAGGACGGAAAGACCCCAUGGAGCUUUACUCCAGUUUGGUACUGGGAUUCGGUACUGCAUGUACAGGAUAGGUGGGAGGCUUAGAAGUAAGGACGCCAGUCUUUACGGAGCCGCUGUUGGGAUACCACCCUUGCAGUAUUGGGUUUCUAACCUGUUACCGUGACCCGGUAAAGGGACAAUGCCAGGCGGGGAGUUUGACUGGGGCGGUCGCCUCCGAAAGGGUAUCGGAGGCGCUCAAAGGUUCCCUCAGAAUGGUCGGAAACCAUUUAAAGAGUGCAAAGGCAGAAGGGAGCUUGACUGCGACACCGACGGGUGGAGCAGGUACGAAAGUAGGACUUAGUGAUCCGGUGGUAGAAAGUGGGAUUGCCAUCGCUCAACGGAUAAAAGCUACCCUGGGGAUAACAGGCUUAUCACUCCCAAGAGUUCACAUCGACGGUGUGGUUUGGCACCUCGAUGUCGGCUCAUCGCAUCCUGGGGCUGUAGCAGGUCCCAAGGGUUGGGCUGUUCGCCCAUUAAAGCGGUACGCGAGCUGGGUUCAGAACGUCGUGAGACAGUUCGGUCCCUAUCCGGCGCGGGCGGAGGAUAUUUGAGAGGAGCUGACCCUAGUACGAGAGGACCGGGUUGGACGGACCACUGGUGUACCUGCUGUCUACCAAAGGCAUCACAGGGUAGCCAAGUCCGGGACGGAUAAACGCUGAAGGCAUCUAAGCGUGAAGCCGGCCUCAAGAUGAGAUAUCCCCUCCAUAAGGAGAUAAGAUCCCUUGAAGAGUACAAGGUAGAUAGGGCAGAGGUGGAAGUACAGCAAUGUACGGAGCUGACUGUCACUAAUCGAUCGAAGGCUUGAUCAA